rnacentral:rRNA from 1 species
UCAGGAUGAACGCUGGCGGCGUGCUUAACACAUGCAAGUCGAACGAAGCGCAUUGUUUGAAUUCUUCGGAAGGAAGAUAAUGUGACUGAGUGGCGGACGGGUGAGUAACGCGUGGGUAACCUGCCAUGUACAGGGGGACAACAGUUGGAAACGGCUGCUAAUACCGCAUAAGCGCACGAGAUUGCAUGAUCUAGUGUGAAAAACUCCGGUGGUAUAUGAUGGACCCGCGUCUGAUUAGCUAGUUGGUAAGGUAACGGCUUACCAAGGCGACGAUCAGUAGCCGACCUGAGAGGGUGACCGGCCACAUUGGGACUGAGACACGGCCCAGACUCCUACGGGAGGCAGCAGUGGGGAAUAUUGCACAAUGGGCGAAAGCCUGAUGCAGCGACGCCGCGUGAACGAAGAAGUAUUUCGGUAUGUAAAGUUCUAUCAGCAGGGAAGAAGAAAUGACGGUACCUGACUAAGAAGCCCCGGCUAACUACGUGCCAGCAGCCGCGGUAAUACGUAGGGGGCAAGCGUUAUCCGGAUUUACUGGGUGUAAAGGGAGCGCAGGCGGCCCGGCAAGUCUGAUGUGAAAACCCAAGGCUCAACCAUGGGAUUGCAUUGGAAACUGUCGAGCUAGAGUAUCGGAGGGGUAAGUGGAAUUCCUAGUGUAGCGGUGAAAUGCGUAGAUAUUAGGAGGAACACCAG